rnacentral:rRNA from 1 species
GAUGAACGCUGGCGGCGUGCCUAAUACAUGCAAGUCGAGCGAACAGACGAGGAGCUUGCUCCUCUGACGUUAGCGGCGGACGGGUGAGUAACACGUGGAUAACCUACCUAUAAGACUGGGAUAACUUCGGGAAACCGGAGCUAAUACCGGAUAAUAUAUUGAACCGCAUGGUUCAAUAGUGAAAGACGGUCUUGCUGUCACUUAUAGAUGGAUCCGCGCCGCAUUAGCUAGUUGGUAAGGUAACGGCUUACCAAGGCAACGAUGCGUAGCCGACCUGAGAGGGUGAUCGGUCACACUGGAACUGAGACACGGUCCAGACUCCUACGGGAGGCAGCAGUAGGGAAUCUUCCGCAAUGGGCGAAAGCUUGACGGAGCAACGCCGCGUGAGUGAUGAAGGUCUUCGGAUCGUAAAACUCUGUUAUUAGGGAAGAACAAAUGUGUAAGUAACUAUGCACGUCUUGACGGUACCUAAUCAGAAAGCCACGGCUAACUACGUG